UUUUUGAUGGUUUCGGGGAUGUUGCACUUGAGUCUGACAUCGUAGAAGGACCAUUCUUGCAUCAGAUUGGAUUUUGCACCUGAGUCUGACAUCGUAGAAGGACCAUUCUUGCAUCAGAUUGGAUUUUGCACCUGAGUCUGACAUCGUAGAAGGACCAUUCUUGCAACAGAUUGGAUUUUGCACCUGAGUCUGACAUCGUAGAAGGACCAUUCUUGCAUCAGAUUGGAUUUUGCACCUGAGUCUGACAUCGUAGAAGGACCAUUCUUGCAUAAGAUUGUAAGUAAUUAAUUUCUCUAUCAUAUUCCUAAAUAACUUUUGUGAUUAUGUCCCAAUUUGACUCCCA